UAGCCUACGGGAGGCAGCAGUGAGGAAUAUUGGUCAAUGGGCGGGAGCCUGAACCAGCCAAGUCGCGUGAGGGAAGACGGUCCUAUGGAUUGUAAACCUCUUUAGGCGGGGAGCAAUGCCGGGCACGUGUGCCUGGAGGGAGAGUACCCGCAGAAUAAGCAUCGGCUAACUCCGUGCCAGCAGCCGCGGUAAUACGGAGGAUGCGAGCGUUAUCCGGCUUUAUUGGGUUUAAAGGGUGCGUAGGCGGCUUUUUAAGUCAGCGGACAAAUGUCCGGGCUCAACCCGGGCCGGCCGUUG
rnacentral:rRNA from 1 species